AGCCGCCGCCAUGACCAGCAGCAUGUGAAGACGCCGGCAAGCCACCAGCCACGUGGCAAGGAGAUCCUCAUCUCCAUCUUACUCCAUAGAUCAGGAUUUCUCAGAAAUUUGCCCACAGCAAAAUCACUGGUGCAGCUGGUAAGGAGUCCAGAUGGCCAAAACCACAAUAUCAGCAUCGUGUGGGAUUCCGAGGAGGAAACAAACCAUAAGGGAAGAGUGAGGAAGAUUGUGGAGUGAAUUUCAUGGAUUUGACAUGAAGAAAGGUUGUCUGUAGAUCCUGCCUCCAUUGAUGAGGAACAUGACCUCAAUACAAUGCAGCUGAUGAUCAGAAAUAAAUAUUUCUAAUAAUUAACAGACUGAAAACUUUGUGAGCACAUUUGGAACGCAUUGCAUUUACUCUGUUGUAAGCACAGUAUUAGAUUUUUUUUACAAAAGAAAUAAUGACCCAAAAUGCUUUUAUUUUCCUUUAAAUUUAU